rnacentral:rRNA from 1 species
UAGGGAAUAUUGGACAAUGGGUGAGAGCCUGAUCCAGCCAUGCCGCGUGCAGGAAGAAGGCCUUCUGGGUUGUAAACUGCUUUUGCCAGGGGAUAAAAUUUCCAUGCGUGGAGAAUUGAAGGUACCUGGUGAAUAAGCCACGGCUAACUACGUGCCAGCAGCCGCGGUAAUACGUAGGUGGCAAGCGUUGUCCGGAUUUAUUGGGUUUAAAGGGUGCGUAGGCGGUUCCAUAAGUCAGUGGUGAAAUACAAUAGCUUAACUAUUGAGGUGCCAUUGAUACUGCGGAACUUGAGUACAGACGAGGUAGGCGGAAUUGACGGUGUAGCGGUGAAAUGCUUAGAUAUCGUCAAGAACACCGAUAGCGAAGGCAGCUUACUAGACUGUAACUGACGCUGAGGCACGAAAGUGUGGGGAUCAAACAGGAUUAGAUACCCCCGUAGUCCCUGAGCGGGCUGGCAAGGCGCAU